GAGACUAUACUUUCAGGGUCACUUCUAUAGUUUGUUCUCCACUUAUGAAAGCAACAAAUUUUUAAAAGUUGGAAAAUGUAUUAGGUUAGCAAGCCUUAACUAGCAUUUGUGUAAUGCAUACUUUUUAUAAAGCAUAUUUUAUCAAUCUGUGAAGAGCACUUGUCCAUGACUGGCAGGGGCUGGUGCCUGGCAGGGGAUCUUGACAUU